rnacentral:misc_RNA from 1 species
UGACCAAAAUAGACCGCGCACUCGUUAUCCAUCCCGUCGAUGGCGGCAUUGACCGCCAUUCGGCCAAGUCCCCGACCACCUCCCCUCCUCGGAGGGGGGGCCGGGGCAACAGAACCCACGGCGCCGACGGCGUCAAGGAACACUAUGCCUAACCCGAGGGUGUGGCUGGCUUGCUAGCCACCCCUCGUGUUGCGAUGCUAUCUAAACCACACGACUCUCGGCAACGGAUAUCUCGGCUCUCGCAUCGAUGAAGAACGUAGCGAAAUGCGAUACYUGGUGUGAAUUGCAGAAUCCCGCGAACCAUCGAGUCUUUGAACGCAAGUUGCGCCCGAGGCCACCCGGCUGAGGGCACGCCUGCCUGGGCGUCACGCCAAUACACGCUCCCACCUCCCUCAAUGGGUAGUGGGAUGCGGAUUCUGGCCUUCCGUGCUGUGAGGCGCGGCAGGCCGAAGAUCGGGCUGCCGGCGUAUCGUGCCGGACACAGCGCGUGGUGGACUUCUACUUAGCGCAGUUCCAGCACGUAGCCGGCGUAGUGGCCCCAAGGACCCAACGAACGGAGCGCA